GGCUCAGAUUGAACGCUGGCGGCAGGCCUAACACAUGCAAGUCGAGCGGAUGAAGAGAGCUUGCUCUCUGAUUCAGCGGCGGACGGGUGAGUAAUGCCUAGGAAUCUGCCUGAUAGUGGGGGACAACGUUUCGAAAGGAACGCUAAUACCGCAUACGUCCUACGGGAGAAAGCAGGGGACCUUCGGGCCUUGCGCUAUCAGAUGAGCCUAGGUCGGAUUAGCUAGUAGGUGAGGUAAUGGCUCACCUAGGCGACGAUCCGUAACUGGUCUGAGAGGAUGAUCAGUCACACUGGAACUGAGACACGGUCCAGACUCCUACGGGAGGCAGCAGUGGGGAAUAUUGGACAAUGGGCGAAAGCCUGAUCCAGCCAUGCCGCGUGUGUGAAGAAGGUCUUCGGAUUGUAAAGCACUUUAAGUUGGGAGGAAGGGCAGUAAGUUAAUACCUUGCUGUUUUGACGUUACCGACAGAAUAAGCACCGGCUAACUUCGUG
rnacentral:rRNA from 1 species